GGUAGCUCAGUGGUAGAGCAAUCGGCUGUUAACCGAUUGGUCGCUGGUUCGAAUCCAGCC
rnacentral:tRNA from 1 species